AGGAUGGACGGAGUAAGGUCAGGGAGAGUGAUUAGGGGAAGGAGGGAGUGAGGUGGAGGACGGUGGAGAAGGGAGAGGGAAGAGGAGACGUAGCGAGAGGGACUUUUGGUGGCGACGUGGAGCUCUUCGUUGUGGAUCUGCGGUGGAGGGAAGAGAAGGCAGGUGGAUCCAGUACAGUGCAGAGGAUCUAGCGAGGUGGAAAGUGUACACCGUGGCUGAGCCCAAGCAUGAUACCAAAAACUCGCAGGAUCGCCCAGUCAUUCUGAAUUCGAGGAAAGGAACUCGAGACGGAUUCAAAGGAUCGCCAAGGACACGCCACGAGAGCGACGGGCGAGGCAGGACAGGACGGGCGGGGAGGUGAGGCCUGUUUACACCUGUGCUUGAGACUCGAGGCGUAAUGUCCGUAAUUACCUUCAACUAACCCUCAUUACUGAUGACAAAUCAAAAUAAACGAUGCUGGUGGCACGGUUCUGGAGAAACAGUCAUAAAAUCAAA